rnacentral:rRNA from 1 species
UACGGGGGGUGCAAGCGUUGUCCGGAAUCAUUGGGCGUAAAGCGUUCGUAGGCGGUAUAUCAAGUCUGGUGUUAAAGCCCGAGGCUCAACUUCGGAUCGGCACUGGAUACUGGUAAACUAGAAUGUGGUAGAGGUAAGGGGAAUUCCUGGUGUAGCGGUGAAAUGCGUAGAUAUCAGGAGGAACAUCGGUGGCGAAAGCGCCUUACUGGGCCAUUAUUGACGCUGAGGAACGAAAGCCAGGGGAGCAAAUGGG